rnacentral:lncRNA from 1 species
CGAAGAGAGUUGCCGAAUGAGGUGUCUAGCUGGUAGUCAAUGUCAUGAGUAGGAAAACUUCACUUGUUUCUUUUCGAAGUGGUAACCCAGGGCUCCUUCUUCAUAUACUGUUUUUUGUUAUGAAGAUGUGUUAGGCCCAAAGAAGUGGAGGCUUAGGCCCUUUUUUUUUUUUUUUUUUUUUUUUUUUUUUUUUUUUUUUUUUGUAAUGUUUGUACAGAUAUCUAUAAUGUGGCCUUUGUCAUGAUUUUGGAGGAUGGGUGUAUUCGAAUCCAAUGAGGGGUAGGGUAUGCCAUGAUUUUGUCUUCCUUUAGCUUUUCUUUUGCUUUGCUUUACCAUUUUUGCUUUCCUUUAGUCUGCCUUUAGCUUUUCUUCAAUAUAACACCAUUUUCUGUGGCUCAGAUCGCAAAACCAUCUUCAUGAAAGUUGUUCCUUAGCUCGUGAACUACAACAUAUCCGAAUUGGAGAUCCAUCGGAGCAGUACAACUCCAGAAAUUCAGGUAUGAUGAGUGAUUGUUCGUCAUUUGUAUAUCAACGCGUCAGACUUGUUGUGAGCUUCAAAAACUUCAUUUUCUCUUGCUCAGAUCAACAUACUUUCUUCAUCGAAGUUGUUCCUUAACUUGUGAACUACAACAUAUCCAAAAUUGAGAUCCCUCGGAGCUGUAUAACUCAAGAAAUUCAGGUAUGAUGAAUGACUGGUUAUUAUUUUUCUGUCAACCCGUCAGAUUUGUUGUGAGCUUCGAAACUCCAUUUUCUAUUGUUCAGAUCAGCAUGCUUUCUUCAUUGAAGUUGUUCCUCAUCGUCUCUUUCAUAACAUAUCAAACAUUCAGAAUGAACUAAUGGUUAAAUAUUUCCAGAUCUUCGAAACAUCACAGCAGCUUCGAAAUCUGCAAGAAUCCGACUGUCAUGUUUGGAGCUUCAACACUUUAAUUUCCGUCGCUCAAACAGAAAUGGUUCCUUCUUGAAAGUUGUUCAUAUGCUCAAAA